rnacentral:rRNA from 1 species
GACAGAGGGUGCAAACGUUGCUCGGAAUGACUGGGCGUAAAGGGCGCGUAGGCGGAUGGUACAGUCAGAUGUGAAAUUCCUGGGCUCAACCUGGGGGCUGCAUUUGAUACGUGCUGUCUUGAGUUCGGAAGAGGGUCGUGGAAUUCCCAGUGUAGAGGUGAAAUUCGUAGAUAUCUGGAGGAACACCGGUGGCGAAGGCGGCAUCCUGGACCGACAUUGACGCUGAGGCGCGAAAGCCAGGGGAGCAAACGGG